AGAGUUUGAUCCUGGCUCAGGAUGAACGCUGGCGGUAUGCUUAACACAUGCAAGUCGAACGAAUGUUUUUCGGACAUUAGUGGCGGACGGGGUGAGUAACGCGUGAGAAUCUGCCUAUAGGUUGGGGACAACAGAUGGAAACGUCUGCUAAUACCCGAUGUGCCGAGAGGUAAAAGCUUUAGUGCCUGUAGAUGAGCUCGCGUCCGAUUAGCUAGUUGGUUGGGUAAAGGCUGACCAAGGCGACGAUCGGUAGCUGGUCUGAGAGGAUGAUCAGCCACACUGGGACUGAGACACGGCCCAGACUCCUACGGGAGGCAGCAGUGGGGAAUUUUCCGCAAUGGGCGAAAGCCUGACGGAGCAAUACCGCGUGCGGGACGAAGGCUUUUGGGUCGUAAACCGCUUUUGUUAGGGAAGAAGAACUGACGGUACCUAACGAAUCAGCAUCGGCUAACUCCGUGCCAGCAGCCGCGGUAAUACGGGGGAUGCAAGCGUUAUCCGGAAUUAUUGGGCGUAAAGCGUCCGCAGGUGGUUUAUCAAGUCUGCUGUCAAAGCGUGGGGCUUAACCCCAUAAAGGCAGUGGAAACUGAGAGACUAGAGUACGGUAGGGGUAGCGGGAAUUCCCAGUGUAGCGGUGAAAUGCGUAGAUAUUGGGAAGAACACCAGCGGCGAAGGCGCGCUACUGGGCCGAAACUGACACUCAUGGACGAAAGCUAGGGGAGCGAAAGGGAUUAGAUACCCCUGUAGUCCU
rnacentral:rRNA from 1 species